AACGAACGCUGGCGGCGUGCCUAACACAUGCAAGUCGAACGAGAAAGGGGCUUCGGCUCCGAGUAAAGUGGCGCACGGGUGAGUAACACGUAGGUAACCUGCCUCUAAGAUUGGGAUAACCUGUCGAAAGAUGAGCUAAUACCAAAUAAGACCACGGCUUCCUCGGAAGCAGGGGUCGAAAGUAGCCUCUACUUGUAAGCUAUCACUUAG
rnacentral:rRNA from 1 species